rnacentral:rRNA from 1 species
UACAGAGGUCUCGAGCGUUGUUCGGAUUCAUUGGGCGUAAAGGGUACGUAGGUGGCGCUGUAAGUCGGGUGUGAAAUCCUGGGGCUUAACCCCGGAACUGCAUUCGAUACUGCAGUGCUUGAGGACUGGAGAGGAGACUGGAAUUCAUGGUGUAGCAGUGAAAUGCGUAGAGAUCAUGAGGAAGACCAGUGGCGAAGGCGGGUCUCUGGACAGUUCCUGACACUGAGGCACGAAGGCCAGGGGAGCAAACGGG